GGGUCAGUAGGUUGGUCGUGCCACCGGUACGUACUGGUCUCACUGAUUCCUCCUUCCUGAAGAACCGUAAUGCCAUUAAUUUGGUGUUGCGGGGAAACAGGACUGUUACUUUGAAAAAAUUAGAGUGUUUUAAGCAAGCUAACGCUUGAAUACAUUAGCAUGGAAUAAUGAAAUAGGACGAUCGAUCCUAUUUUGUUGGUUUCUAGGAUUGACGUA
rnacentral:rRNA from 1 species